rnacentral:misc_RNA from 1 species
ACGAAGGCCUUACAGAGGAGGAGAUCAGUGCUUUCUAUGAGAAGUACAUGAAAUUAAGGGCUUCAUCAAAAAUUCUCCACAGAAUGCCACCAAGAAUGUCACUCGACCCUCAGAAUAUUAGCUGUGGUGUUGCUUCAUCUGCACUGAGUUCAUCUGACUCAGAGUCAGAUUCUUGAUUCGCCAGAUGUCUGAAACUGACUUUAAAGUUUGAACUGAUUGCUGGAUGUGGUUUCUUUUGUUCUCUUUUAUUUGGCUGAUAUUGAAUAUAAAAUUCUGAUCCUAUCAGAUGUUAAAAGGAAGGUGAAGGUAUAGGAUGCAUAGUGUCUGAUUUUGUUGGAAAUGGAUUGGAAUGAUCUAUGAUUGAUCCAGUCUGAAGACAAAUGAUUUGGUCAGCUUGCUUUUUCAGCUUAGAAUUUUCCGAGGUAUAAAGGUUGAGAGAAGAGGGUGGGAAUAGUUUUUUUAUUAUGCUGCAAUGU